AAGCAAAUGAACCAGGAUUUGCUCGCACAGCUGAAACGUUACUCUGGCUCAUAUUAGUCGUGAUUCUCUGGCAAAAGUCGGCGAUGAUGUAAUAUCUGAACCUGAUCAGACCCAGCUGCCACUGACAGGAGUCAGAGACGUGACUUUAUGUCGGCUUGUGAGCGUGGCUUCAACUUCCUGUGCUGGCCUGACCCAUCUGUGGCCAUGUGGGACUCUCCACAGGCAGAUGAACUUUUCCACCUCUUGUUGUGGACAGGGCCCCAAGUCCUGCUGGAAACUGAAAUCAGCAUCUCCAUGAAGCUCGUCAGUAGAUGGAAAGCUGGAAUGUCCUGGUAGACGGCUGCAGUGACUGUGGACUUGAGAAAACCCGGAGGACCAACAGGAGCAGAUAACGUGGCACCCAAAACCAUCACUGAGUGCAAACGUCCCACUGGACUUCAAGUGCCUCUCCACUCUUCCUCCAGAGUCUGAGACCUUGAUUUCCAAGUGAAAUGCAAACUUUAUUUUGAUCUAAAAAGAGAAAUGUGAACAAUUGACCAAAAGACCAGAUAAUUUCUCCCUUACCUCAGGGAAGACUUCAGACAUUGACCCUAGUUCAGGAGCAGCUUGAUACCUGCAAAGUGACACCUGUAACACAUUCAUGCCUCUCUAUUCUCCAACGUCUUUUAAUAAGUAGUCUGUUUGUGUGUGUUUUAUCUAAGAUUGCAUAUUGCUUGGUUCAAGCAAAUCUAGAAUAUGUAACUUUAUUUUUAAAGUCUUUUGUAUUUCCAAGCCACAUUGUGCCAUUUUAUAGCACAAUCAAGUAACUAUAGUCACUAUAAAAAUACUGUGUAUAUAAAAUAUGACUUAAAUGAA